CUUCUGAGGUCAGGAUCCUGAUUGUGAGGGCUUUAGGCAUACUGAAGAGCUUGUGACCACUGAAAGAAGUCUCCUGAGGAGUUGGAAACAUCCUUGUAAGCUCAGAAGAAAAGAGCAACUCAUUGGUGCCUUGACUAAGUGGCCAUUCUUCAUGCUUGAGUUGAGACAGAGGCUGGCAUUUAACUUCUGGCAAGUUCGUCAAAACACGUGUUAAAACAUACCACCCAAAGCAGACACAGAGCUCCAAUUAAAUAGAAAACUCUUACCGUUGCAGAUCCAGGAGCAAUAGAACUGUUUCACUGUGCUCCACAAGUUAGGUUUAGACCACUAACAUUAUGGAAUUUUUCCUCCUUCCAACCCAGGAAUCCCUCUCAUACACAACAUCAGUGGCAACCCAGUCUUUUCAGACCAACAAUUCCUCUUCAAGUCCAUUAACUACCAAGACAUUAAAGAAGUCUGGCCUUUGAACUAGAAAAUGCCUCCUAGCUCAACUAUCAGAUGGAAGGUCCAUCCGCUUUCUCCUAAAUCUCACCAAUCUUGCAAGUUUUAUUGAUCUGGUUGUUUGAAGAGGAUAUCACACACAGGUUGAACUAAUCCCUGUGUGGCAAUCAUGCGUGUCCAUUUUAUAGCAAAGGUCACUGCACACCAAUACAGGAAGCAGCUCACAUUGAAAUGCAUAAGGCUCAUUUGAAGCUCUCCAUGCAAUGGCAUUUCAAUUAUGGGUGUAAUCAUUUAAAUGAUAGUUCAGAUUGAACCAAAAGACUUUCAUUCUCUGUUUAGUUCAGUCUUAUACUGCCGAUGCAUGUACAUAAUGAAUUUAAAUCGAUAGUUCUAAAGUUUUUAAGUAAAGCAAUAUUCUCUUUAUAACGAGCAUUUUUUUUUUAACUUUGGAGAGGUUCUCAAAUGGUCAACUGUAUUGGUCAAAAGUAUUCCUGAGACGUGGGAAUGGGCAACUUUGACUCAUGGUAGUAUGGGUGUCAUUUGAUAAAUUAUUUUUUUCUCGGAAAACCUUUACUUUCAUUGGCAUUUGUCUCUCCUUCAUUGUGAAUGAUUCAUUAUGAAUGUAGUGAUGGGCAUCAAACCAAGUAUUCCAAUGGAUUCAUAAUCUGUGGCCAUGAUUAGUCCAUUAUUGUAUUGCAGUUUGUUUCAAGAAGCUGGUGCUGAACCAAGUAAAAAAAAAAUAAAAUCUGCAAUUAGCUAAUGGUU